rnacentral:rRNA from 1 species
ACUCCGGACGUGCUUUGGAUACUGCCAAACUUGAGUACGUGAGAGGAGAGCGGAAUUCCAGGUGUAGCGGUGAAAUGCGUAGAUAUCUGGAGGAACACCGGUGGCGAAGGCGGCUCUCUGGCGCGAAACUGACGCUGAGGCUCGAAAGCGUGGGGAGCGAACGGGAUUAGAUACCCCGCGUAGUCCACGCCGUACACGUUGUGCACUAGGUGUAGGAGGUAUCGACCCCUUCUGUGCCGCGGCUAACGCAAUAAGUGCACCGCCUGGGGAGUACGGUCGCAAGACUGACACUCAAAGGAAUUGACGGGGGCCCGCACAAGCGGUGGAGCAUGUGGUUUACUUCGAGGCCAAGCGAAGAACCUUACGUGGUUUGACAUGCAGGAUGCCAUCCUGGAAACAGGAUUGGUUUACCCGCAAGGGUUGAAACCUGCACAGUGGCUGCAUGGCUGUCGUCAGCUCGUGUCGUGAGAUGUCGGCUUAAGUCUUAUUAACGAGCGGAAACCCUUGCCCGUUAGUUACCAGC